UACGGAGGUGGCAAGCGUUGCUCGGAAUCACUGGGCGUAAAGGGCGCGUAGGCGGGGAGGUAAGUCGGGUGUGAAAUCCCUCGGCCCAACCGAGGAACUGCGCCCGAGACUGCUUCUCUUGAGUCCCGGAGAGGAAGAUGGAAUUCCCGGUGUAGCGGUGAAAUGCGCAGAUAUCGGGAAGAACACCCGUGGCGAAGGCGGCUCUCUGGGACGGUACUGACGCUGAGGCGCGAAAGCGUGGGGAGCGAACAGG
rnacentral:rRNA from 1 species